UGGGGAAUAUUGCACAAUGGGCGCAAGCCUGAUGCAGCCAUGCCGCGUGUAUGAAGAAGGCCUUCGGGUUGUAAAGUACUUUCAGCGGGGAGGAAGGCGGUGAGGUUAAUAACCUCACCGACUGACGUUACCCGCAGAAGAAGCACCGGCUAACUCCGUGCCAGCAGCCGCGGUAAUACGGAGGGUGCAAGCGUUAAUCGGAAUUACUGGGCGUAAAGCGCACGCAGGCGGUCUGUCAAGUCGGAUGUGAAAUCCCCGGGCUCAACCUGGGAACUGCAUUCGAAACUGGCAGGCUAGAGUCUUGUAGAGGGGGGUAGAAUUCCAGGUGUAGCGGUGAAAUGCGUAGAGAUCUGGGGGAAUACCGGUGGCGAAGGCGGCCCCCUGGACAAAGACUGACGCUCAGGUGCGAAAGCGUGGGGGGCAAACAGG
rnacentral:rRNA from 1 species